GUCCACGCCGUAAACGAUGGGUGCUAGGUGUCGCGGGCUUUGACCCCUGCGGUGCCGUAGCUAACGCAUUAAGCACCCCGCCUGGGGAGUACGGCCGCAAGGCUAAAACUCAAAGGAAUUGACGGGGGCCCGCACAAGCGGUGGAGCAUGUUGUUUAAUUCGACGCAACGCGAAGAACCUUACCUGGGCUAGAAAACGCAGGAACCCGGUCGAAAAGUCGGGGUGCUCUUCGGAGAACCUGUGGUUAGGUGCUGCAUGGCUGUCGU
rnacentral:rRNA from 1 species